rnacentral:rRNA from 1 species
ACGAACGCUGGCGGCGUGCCUAACACAUGCAAGUCGAACGAGGCCACUCUUUCGGGAGUGAGUCGAGUGGCGGACGGGUGAGUAACACGUAAGCAAUCUAUCCUGUUGCGGGGGACAACGAAGGGAAACUUUCGCUAAUACCGCAUGGACAAGAGAUCCGAUGGGUCUUUUGGGAAACGUGGGCCUCUUUACAAUGCUACGGCGGCAGGAGGAGCUUGCGGGGCUAUCAGCUAGUUGGUGAGGUAAAUGGCUCACCAAGGCAGCGACGGCUACGGGGUCUGAGAGGACGACCCCGCACAUUGGAACUGAGACACGGUCCAGACUCCUACGGGAGGCAGCAGUGGGGAAUAUUGGGCAAUGGCCGAAAGGCUGACCCAGCGACGCCGCGUGCGGGAGGAAGCCCUUCGGGGUGUAAACCGCUGUCGGGAGGGACGAAAGAGUUCACGGUGAAUAAUCGUGAGCAGCUUGACGGUACCUUCAAAGGAAGCACCGGCUAACUCUGUGCCAGCAGCCGCGGUAAUACAGAGGGUGCAAGCGUUGUCGGAAUUACUGGGGCGUAAAGCGCGCGCAGGCGGGUUUGUAAGUCGAAAGUGAAAUUUCACUGCUCAACGGUGAAGCUGCUUUUGAUACUGCAAGCCUUGAGACCGGUAGAGGGAUGUGGAAUUCCAGGUGUAGCGGUGAAAUGCGUAGAGAUCUGGAGAACACCCGUGGCGAAGGCGACAAUCCGGGCCGGUCUGACGCUGAGGCGCGAAAGCCAGUGGGAGCAAACGGGAUUAGAUACCCCUGGUAGUCCACGGCCCGUAAACGUGAUGCACUUAGGUGCUGGCGGGGGGAGCGACCCCUUCAGUGCCGUAGCUAACGCAUUAAGCAUGCCCGCCUGGGGAGUACGGUCCGCAAGGCUGAAACUCAAAGGAAUUGACGGGGGCCCGCACAAGCGGUGGAGCAUGUGGUUUAAUUCGACGCAACGCGAAGAACCUUACCCUAGGCUCGAACGGUAGCUGACAUCCUACGAAAGUAGGCUCCCGCAAGGGCAGCUAUCGAGGUGCUGCAUGGCUGUCGUCAGCUCGUGUCGUGAGAUGUUGGGUUAAGUCCCGCAACGAGCGCAACCCUUGUCUUCUGUUGCCAUCGGGUUAUGCCGGGCACUCUGAAGAGACUGCCGGUGACAAACCGGAGGAAGGUGGGGAUGACGUCAAGUCAGCAUGGCCUUUAUGUCUGGGGCCACACACGUGCUACAAUGGCCGGUACAAACCGUCGCGAUCUCGCAAGAGGGAGCUAAUCGGAGAAAGCCGGUCUCAGUUCGGAUUGUAGGCUGCAACUCGCCUGCAUGAAGUUGGAAUCGCUAGUAAUCGCGGAUCAGCACGCCGCGGGUGAAUACGUUCCCGGGCCUUGUACACACCGCCCGUCACAUCACGAAGCUGGCUGUACUAGAAGUCGCUGCGCUAACCCGCAAGGGAAGCAGGUGCCUAAGGUAUGGUCAGUGAUUGGGGUG